AAACUUGAAAACUUUUUGGAUGUUUAUCAAAGGCCCUCAAGUCUUUUUCAUACGUUUUCAACACCUGCUAAAGUUUCAUAGAUGGUGUAGCUCUCACUGGACUUGGCGUAAUGAGAUUAAUAUGUAUAUCCGAGAAAUGAAGAUUCUUAGCAUUAUGUCAGCCAUCAUAUGCUCAAACCACAAUUCGGAUUGUUUUCAUGUUAUCCAAUAAACUUUUGUGGGAUUUCUUUGAUUCAUGAUUUCUGUCGUCUUGGGAGCAUCCGUUUCGGUUGUCUGUUGGAAAGAACUGCAAAAGUUUAAACCAAAUGUAUUGUUUGACACUUCCGCUGGCGUUGGUGAAGCAAGUGUUUGUGUGACGGAUUCCUUGCAGCAGGGGCACAAUUGCCAAGUUACUAAGCAUUAUUAUUAAAGUUUGCAGGAAGAUAUGGAUAUCGUGUUUUCUU